GAAGGUAUAGCUUGGUGGCAGAGUGUGUGCUUAGCAUGCCAGAGGUCCGGGGUUCAAUCCCCAGUACCUUUA
rnacentral:tRNA from 1 species